rnacentral:rRNA from 1 species
CUAAGUUUGAUGGCGACCGGCGCACGGGUGAGUAACACGUAUCCAACCUGCCGAUGACUCGGGGAUAGCCUUUCGAAAGAAAGAUUAAUAUCCGAUAGCAUAUAUUUCCCGCAUGGGUUUUAUAUUAAAGAAAUUCGGUAUGAGAUGGGGAUGCGUUCCAUUAGUUUGUUGGGGGGUAACGGCCCACCAAGACUACGAUGGAUAGGGGUUCUGAGAGGAAGGUCCCCCACAUUGGAACUGAGACACGGUCCAA